rnacentral:rRNA from 1 species
GCAAGCGGAGGGCGCGGUCGAAAGAUCGUGGCCCCGCACACUGCUCAGUAACACGUAGUCAACCUACCCUUGGGACGGGGACAACCUCGGGAAACUGAGGCUAAUCCCCGAUAGGUGAGGGACGCUGGAAUGCCUCCUCGCCCAAAGCUCCGGCGCCCAAGGAUGGGACUGCGGUCUAUCAGGCUGUUGGUGGUGUAACGGACCACCAAACCUACGACGGGUACGGGCGAUGGGAGUCGGAGCCCGGAGAUGGGGACUGAGACAAGGCCCCAGGCCCUACGGGGCGCAGCAGGCGCGAAAACUCCGCAAUGCGCGCAAGCGUGACGGGGGAAUCCCAAGUGCCGUUGGUCUUAUGAUCGACGGUUUUUAGGAAGUCUAAGAAGCUUCCAGAAUAAGGGCUGGGCAAGACUGGUGCCAGCCGCCGCGGUAACACCAGCAGCCCAAGUGGUGACCACGAUUAUUGGGCCUAAAGCGCUCGUAGCCGGAUCAGCAAGUCCCUUGUGAAAUCGGGCCGCCUAACGGUUCGGCGUGCAAGGGAUACUGUUGGUCUUGAGGCCGGGAGAGGUCGGAGGUACUCCUGGGGUAGCGGUGAAAUGCUCUAAUCCUAGGGGGACCACCAGUGGCGAAGGCGUCCGACCAGAACGGACCUGACGGUGAGGGGCGAAGGCUAGGGGAGCGAACGGGAUUAGAUACCCCGGUAGUCCUAGCUGUAAAGCAUGCGGGCCAGGUGUCUAGCGCUCCUUG